GACGAACGCUGGCGGCGUGCUUAACACAUGCAAGUCGAACGGAAGGGCCCUGCUUUUGUGGGGUGCUCGAGUGGCGAACGGGUGAGUAACGCGUGGGUAACCUGCCCUUGACUUUGGGAUAACUUCAGGAAACUGGGGCUAAUACCGGAUAGGAGCUCCUGCUGCAUGGUGGGGGUUGGAAAGUUUCGGCGGUUGGGGAUGGACUCGCGGCUUAUCAGCUUGUUGGUGGGGUAGUGGCUUACCAAGGCUUUGACGGGUAGCCGGCCUGAGAGGGUGACCGGCCACAUUGGGACUGAGAUACGGCCCAGACUCCUACGGGAGGCAGCAGUGGGGAAUAUGGCACAAUGGGCGGAAGCCUGAUGCAGCAACGCCGCGUGCGGGAUAACGGCCUUCGGGUUGUAAACCGCUUUCGCCUGUGACGAAGCGUGAGUGACGGUAAUGGGUAAAGAAGCACCGGCUAACUACGUG
rnacentral:rRNA from 1 species